ACACUGCUAAGAUAUCGAAAUCGAAUGUCUAAGGUAAUGUACGAUAGAAAUAUUUCGAAUGUGUAAUUGAAUUUCUUACGAAUUUGUCAUUUAUUCCUUAAACUGUGAGUCCUGUUUCAAACCAAACUACAAAUAUUUUUGUGCAUAUACAUAUGACAAAUUCAUUUUGUAGCAACUUUAGCGCUAUAUCAAUCAACAGAAUGAAGAAAUGUUAAGUGGUCUUUGCAAUUUAAGAUAUGAAUUGUGGUCAAACUAUUAAUAUAAUACGUAGUGCAGAUGAACACAUCUUUAUAAGAAAAAUGUAGUAGAACACAAAUUUACUAUUUUUGUGUAAUAAAACUGAUUAGUAGUAUCAAAGUAUUUUAUAAAUACUUGUGAGAUAUAUAAAGGUCGUUACUAUUUUCAAGAAGAAGUAAUGUAAUGGAUUCACCACACAACCCUACAAACGAUUAUCCAGAUGGUCAGUGAAUAACACUUUUACAGGCAAACCAACUUUUCGAAAAUGAUGUAAUAUGCAACAAUCUAAUUAAAGUAUCACACUUUUAUAUGUGCUGUAUUUGUACUCUCCUAAUUCAUAUAUGUGUUUAAAUGGAUUCAUUGGUUGUUAUAUAUGCUAUGUGUGGUCAAGAGACAUAUUGGGUUGCCCGAAAAGUAAUUGCGGAUUUUUCAUAUAGUCGUCGUUGACAAAUGUUUUCAUAGCUUGUGACUCUGUAAUUGCAUUCUUUCUUCUGUUAGUUAUCAGCUGUUACUUUUAGCUUGCUUUAGAAAAAAAGUGUAAAAAAAGUAUAUUUGAUUAAAGUUCAUUCCAGGAUUCACUGAAUCCUGAGUUCAUUCUAAGUUUUAUUAAAAAUACAUUUACUUUCUUUUAAAAAAUCCGCAAUUACUUUUUGGACAACCCAAUAGUUUGCCUGCGGCGUGACAAACUCAUAUAACUUCAGGCUUGAAAGAGCCCAAAACAAAAAGCCGAUUUAAAAUAAAUAAACAACCCAUAUUUGGACGAUUGUUUUUUUAUUUUGCCCGAAAGACUGUCAAAACUCAUUAUAAAAAAAUGGUGACGAAGAAAAUGCGAACAUAUUUCCUAAAAGUGCUACUGAGUUCUAUAAGCAAAAUAGAAGCGACGUGUCGCUGCGCCAAUACAAAUUUCAAUUCAAUUAAUUUCCAAUGUAAUUAAAUUCUAACGAAAUGGCCAUCAAUCAACUCUGUUUCCAUGGUUUUGUCUUUGUUGUGUGUUGUUGUUUGACUUUUGUUUGUGUUCUGGCAAAAAAAUAGAAUCCGUCGAAUUUCGCAAUAAUUUAAUAGACAUUUUCGCUGCGAAUGAAGUCAGUACUAGGCUUUAGUCGUGAUUUUCUCUUCAUUCGUGAGUGAUUAGUGUCGUGUGCAUGAUUUCACUCACUCACGCACCAAUAAUUUUAAAUCAAUCACGGCCACGCGCGAUCACGUGAUAGGAUUUGGAUCUCACUCACGAAUCACAUGACUCACGCAUGAUUAAUUAAUUU